rnacentral:misc_RNA from 1 species
GAUGAAGAACGCAGCGAAAUGCGAUAAGUAAUGUGAAUUCCAGAAUUCAGUGAAUCAUCGAAUCUUUGAACGCACCUUGCACCCUUUGGCAUUCUGAAGGGUAUGCUCGUUUGAGUGUCAUUGUACUCUCACACUCCCGAUCUUUGCAUUGGGAGCAGUGGACUUGGGUUUGCUGCUUCACCGUCGCUUACCUCAAAUAGGUUAGUGCAACUCUUGGUUGGACAUAGUACGGCGUGAUAAGUGUUCUUCGCCGGUGCCUCGCAAAGAGGGUGGCCGAUCGGGAUGUUGUGCUCCAAACCGUCUUCGGACAAUCUCUGACGACUUGACCUCAAAUCGAGUAAGACUACCCGCUGAACUUAAGCAUAUCAAUAAGCGGAGGA